UGGGGAAUUUUGGACAAUGGGGGAAACCCUGAUCCAGCCAUCCCGCGUGUGCGAUGAAGGCCUUCGGGUUGUAAAGCACUUUUGGCAGGAAAGAAACGUCAUGGGUUAAUACCCCGUGAAACUGACGGUACCUGCAGAAUAAGCACCGGCUAACUACGUGCCAGCAGCCGCGGUAAUACGUAGGGUGCAAGCGUUAAUCGGAAUUACUGGGCGUAAAGCGUGCGCAGGCGGUUCGGAAAGAAAGAUGUGAAAUCCCAGAGCUCAACUUUGGAACUGCAUUUUUAACUACCGGGCUAGAGUGUGUCAGAGGGAGGUGGAAUUCCGCGUGUAGCAGUGAAAUGCGUAGAUAUGCGGAGGAACACCGAUGGCGAAGGCAGCAUCCUGGGAUAACACUGACGCUCAUGCACGAAAGCGUGGGGAGCAAACAGG
rnacentral:rRNA from 1 species